rnacentral:lncRNA from 1 species
GGGUGGGGGAGCAGAGAGAGAGGGAGACACAGAAUCUGAAACAGGCUCCAGGCUCUGAGCUGUCAGCCCAGAGCCCAACAUGGGGUUCGAACCCACGGACCGCGAGAUCAUGACCUGAGCUGAAGUCGAACGCUCAACCGACUGAGCCACCCAGGCACCCCAUGACACCACUGGAGUAUUUUAGUGAGCCUGCUGGACUGAAGACAUCUCCCCUGGCGAAAAAAUUAGACAGAGGUGGCCCUACACUUACGCUCCAAGGUGUUAUAACGUCAUCCAGUAAGUUAGUACCUGAAACGGAUAGAAUGUUCUAAGUAUCUUCUUCCUGUUCUUCCCAUGCUCCCGUUUUGAAGUGUCUUUAUCAAAACAUCCUGAACUUUUCAGAUCGAUGUUUCUUUGAGAAAUUCCUAGAAUCCUGGUCUCACGCAGAAAGACCGCCCUAUGUCACAUCUCCCUGCCUGCUUCCCUUUCAGAAAGAGUCUCCUUCUGUCCACCAAGUCAGAAACAUCAGUACGGUGUCAGCAUAACUUAUGUGGCCAACACGUGAACUCGUGCCAGAGUCCAGGCCCCAAGAAGCCCUCGUCGGUGGGGACCGUUGAGCACAAAGGGUCUUUGCUGGCAUGCAUCCUGGUCUACCCUGCGGACUCUGAGCCUUGGUGAAAGAAGAGCAAAGAUUCAUAGAUUCACAGAUGAGAGAGAGAGAAAGAAAGCAAGCUACAGAGAAGCAGAGAAUGAAAGACUUGUAAAUCAUCCAUCCCUCAUCUUAAAGCCUAAGAAAGCCUCAGGUUUGGGGUUGGGUGUCUCCAAAGACCAAGCUACAAACCAGGCUAACUCUCCCAGUGUCAGGGAACAACUGAGGCAGGGAAGCAGAAAUUAUAGUUAGCAGUGAGGCUGUCAGGCCAAUGCUCACCUCUGAACACCGGUGUGCUCUAGCCCUGACUUUCACUGUGUUCCUACCUUGGGCUAUUCUAGGUCUUUCCCAUCUACUUUUGGG